GCCAACCCACUUUGCAUUCCUAAGAAAGAACGAAACAAAAGUGAACGAAACAUUUUUCGAUACAUAGUCCUAGUCCUUAGUAAGCGGCAAUGCCAAAACAGCGAAAUUUCAGAAAAUUAACUGACUAACAAAACUUUGUAGAUGAUAGUUCGUAGACGAUCUAAGUUCCUUUGCUAGCUAGGGUUAUGGAUUACCUAUAGACAAGAAGGAUCUCAAACAAAAGACAAAUGAAUCGUAACCAACAGUAAAAUUGCAACUUAACUAAACAAAAACUAAACAUAACUGAACAACAUCAAACACACACACACACAAAUAGUUCAAAUAUAUAUUUACAAAGCAGCCAAAAACAAAAUUAAAGCCCAACUCUACAGUUAAAUACACAUGCAUACUAUAUACAUAUAUACAAAGAUAUAUAUUUUGUGAACCUUUAAAAAAAAAAACAAAAAGCAAAAAAAUGUGAAACGAAUUUGUGACCAAACCAGAGUAUAGAAACCGAAACGAUAUAUAGCUAGUGAUGUAAGCCACUUAACCACAUAUAUAUAGAUAUUUAUAUAUAUUUUUAUACUCGAGAGCCGUAACUAAGUAUUUUUAUAUGAAUAUUUUUGUAACUCGAAUAAAAUAGUAUUGAAAAAGAAAUCGUUUCAAUGACUAGGGAUCUGUCGCUGCAUCAUUCCCCCACUCCACUCUACUCUCCUCUCUUUCCGUCUCUCUCUCUCUCUAUUUAUCUCUUGUUGGCCAAGUUUACUAAACAUGUUUCUUUGCAGACCGACCCAUAUCAAGCACCAUUAUCAUGAUCAUCUUCAGACAAGCAUCAUCCCACAGCGCUCAUUCAAACCAACCAACCAACCAAUCAAAUAAAAAAAGCCAAUCUGCAAUGCUGCUAGCUCACGCUUCACCAUGCCACCAUGCCACGCCCACGCCCACACAAAAUACAAAAUAUUAAAAUUCAACCAAACACCCCGCAACACACACUAACUCUCCAAGCAGCUACGCAUCCAACUCGAGCCAGACCCCGCCGCCGACUGGCACUUUGGCGCACUCCCUGAUCCGCGACUACUGGUACGAGCUGAAGUUCUCCGAUCUGUUCACGUUCAUCAACCCGGACGGACGGUAUCAGUGCCCGAGAUUCAAUUGCCUGAAGAGCUUCAAGGACGCCAGCUCCUUGCAACGACAUAUCAGGUGAGUGUCGGGCAUACCAUAUGCAUAUGUCUAUAUCUAUCUAUCUAUAUCAACGUUUCCCUAGAUAUGAAUGUGGUGGACAGAAAAAAUUUCGCUGUCUGAUGUGCGGCAAGCAUUUUCACAAAGCUCCCACCUAAAGCGGCACCUUGAGUCCGGUGUCUGUGUCAAAUAUUACUUAUGAGAUAAUGUUUUCUUUAAAAUCAAUUAGAAUAAGCGUUAUCCCAAUAGGCAGAGGAUCAAGCAAUGAUCGAAUGACGUGAAAAGAACAUGAACAUUGAACAUGAAUAUAUAUGUAUAACAAAAGAAACACGCAACACAAGAAAAAACAAGAACAGAAUGAUAUAUAGAACCAUUAGCUAAAGGAAAAGGAAUUCAAAAACAAAAACAAAAAACAAAAAACCAAGAACAAUUACAAAUAACAACAACAAAACGAAUUUAUUGGAUGCCACAUCAUUUAUAAAGAAAGGGAAAACCAACCAAUCUAUAUAUACAUUAUAUAUGAUGAUAAUUAUUGUUGAAACUGAGCAUUAAAUAAGCAAAUGGAAUAC